GUGGUUGCUUCGGUAGCACAUAUACUAAAAUUGGAACGAUACAGAGAAGAUUAGCAGGCCCCUGCGCAAGGAUGACACGCAAAUUCGUGAAGCGUUCUUCAUUUUC
rnacentral:snRNA from 1 species